rnacentral:rRNA from 1 species
UACAGGGGGUGCAAACGUCGCUCGGAAUUAUUGGGCGUAAAGCGCACGUAGGCGGUUUGUUAUGUCGGAUGUGAAAGCCCUUGGCUCAACUGAGGAAGUGCAUCCGAAACUGGCAAGCUAGAGUAUGUAAGAGGGUCGCGGAAUUCCCGGUGUAGAGGUGAAAUUCGUAGAUAUCGGGAGGAACACCGGUGGCGAAGGCGGCGACCUGGGACAAUACUGACGCUGAGGUGCGAAAGCGUGGGGAGCAAACAGG